rnacentral:snoRNA from 1 species
UAACUCCACAUUCUCUCCUGAUGGUCCUUCUUCCUGAGUGGCCCUGGCGAUGAGCUAACUGAGCCUCUAAGAAGUUGACUGAAGGGGCUGCUUCCUC